UGCUCCUGCCAGGGUGGAUUCGUCACCUGUGCCAAAAAGCCCUGCUACCAGGCAGGCUGCAGCCACCCAGUCAACGCGCCCGGGCAAUGUUGCCCCGUAUGCCACGGGUGCUUCUAUGAGGGCGUCACUGUUAGCAACGGACAGAUUUUUGCCGACCCGGGAGACUCCCUCUGCUCCCAGUGUACGUGCCGGGGUGGUUCUGUCCAGUGCCUGAGGAAGCUCUGUGCACCAGCCCCCUGUGCCUAUCCAGUGCCUGGUCCGUGCGCCUGCCCCCUGUGCCAAGGU